UACAAAAUUAUCUUUAACCUGUGUAUAUAAAGACGUUCCCCACCGAAUACCAGUUACUUUACUGUUACCCUACAGAUCAUCAUGUGGUCAAUGUUGAUAAUGCUCAGUUGUGUUAUUGGUUCUGUGCAGAGUCAAAUAGUACCUACCUGCCCGAUCGGAAUACCACUACCUAACAUCAAUUGUGGGCGUGGUUCAAAUCGUCAAAACUGCCCGGCUUUGUUUUACUGCAACAUUCACCCGACGGAUGCGUUUGCUGUGUGUUGCAUGAAGCUACCUGGCUAAAUUUGUAUGUCAAAGAUGCAUCGUGUUGUUUGUACAAAGAAAGGAUGUCAUCAAAGAUGUAUGGAUCCUACUUGCUGACCAUUGUUUUGACACAGAUAAAUACAUAAACUAUUUAAUAAAUUGGAAUUCAAAAUCAAAAUGAAA